UGGGGAAUAUUGCACAAUGGGCGAAAGCCUGAUGCAGCGACGCCGCGUGAGGGAUGACGGCCUUCGGGUUGUAAACCUCUUUCAGCAGGGAAGAAGCGAAAGUGACGGUACCUGCAGAAGAAGCGCCGGCUAACUACGUGCCAGCAGCCGCGGUAAUACGUAGGGCGCAAGCGUUGUCCGGAAUUAUUGGGCGUAAAGAGCUCGUAGGCGGCUUGUCACGUCGGGUGUGAAAGCCCGGGGCUUAACCCCGGGUCUGCAUUCAAUACGGGCUAGCUAGAGUGUGGUAGGGGAGAUCGGAAUUCCUGGUGUAGCGGUGAAAUGCGCAGAUAUCAGGAGGAACACCGGUGGCGAAGGCGGAUCUCUGGGCCAUUACUGACGCUGAGGAGCGAAAGCGUGGGGAGCGAACAGGAUUAGAUACCCUGGUAGU
rnacentral:rRNA from 1 species